rnacentral:rRNA from 1 species
UUAACACAUGCAAGUCGAGCGCCCCGCAAGGGGAGCGGCAGACGGGUGAGUAACGCGUGGGAAUCUACCCAUCUCUACGGAAUAACGCAUGGAAACGUGUGCUAAUACCGUAUACGUCCUUCGGGAGAAAGAUUUAUCGGAGAUGGAUGAGCCCGCGUUGGAUUAGCUAGUUGGUGGGGUAAAGGCCUACCAAGGCGACGAUCCAUAGCUGGUCUGAGAGGAUGAUCAGCCACACUGGGACUGAGACACGGCCCAGACUCCUACGGGAGGCAGCAGUGGGGAAUAUUGGACAAUGGGCGCAAGCCUGAUCCAGCCAUGCCGCGUGAGUGAUGAAGGCCCUAGGGUUGUAAAGCUCUUUCACCGGUGAAGAUAAUGACGGUAACCGGAGAAGAAGCCCCGGCUAACUUCGUGCCAGCAGCCGCGGUAAUACGAAGGGGGCUAGCGUUGUUCGGAUUUACUGGGCGUAAAGCGCACGUAGGCGGACUAUUAAGUCAGGGGUGAAAUCCCGGGGCUCAACCCCGGAACUGCCUUUGAUACUGGUAGUCUUGAGUUCGAGAGAGGUGAGUGGAAUUC